GAGGAUGUAGUUCAGUGUUAGAGUGGGUGAUUAGCAUGCACGAGGUCCUGGGUUCAAUUCCCAGUACCUCCG
rnacentral:tRNA from 1 species